ACCUGCCUCUCCCUUGAUGCCUGGUGGGCCCUGGGGUCCUGGAAGACCUGGCGGGCCUGGUUCACCUUUGAUCCGGAAUAGCUCUGUUGAGGCAAGAAGAGAGUUGC